rnacentral:ncRNA from 1 species
AUGCCUUAGCGGGCAUUUCAGGACGUGGCCGAACAACUCCCUCCCAACGGAGUAAGGCACACAAUGGUAUAGGAACGGACAAGUGUCUGACGUAUACCGGAGUGGUAGAUAUGUAUAACUACCUUCAGCUGGUAGUUGGGGCGUAUCUUGAGGGUUAACCAUGAAUCCCUUCGUCCACCCU